CUGGCAUCAUAGGGAAAAAACAAUAGCGUGAGUUUUAUCAAAGUGAUGGUCAAAUUGUGUAAUUAUUAAGAUUGUAUUAAUUAUUUCUAAAAGUGACAGUUUCAAAAGAUGACCCAGUUUAGAGUGGACAAAAUAUAAAAAAUGAGCAGAACACUUUUCUGUGGAAAAACUGCUAAAUGCAUUAAAGAUGAUAGUUAGGGUGUAUAGGAACCAACUGAUGAACAAAC